GAUGAACGCUAGCGGCAGGCUUAAUACAUGCAAGUCGAGGGGCAGCAUGACUGUAGCAAUACAGUUGAUGGCGACCGGCAAACGGGUGCGGAACACGUACACAACCUUCCUUUAAGCGGGGAAUAGCCCAGAGAAAUUUGGAUUAAUACCCCAUAGUAUAUCGAUUAGGCAUCUUUUUGAUAUUAAAGAUUUAUCACUUGAAGAUGGGUGUGCGGCUGAUUAGGUAGUUGGCGGGGUAACGGCCCACCAAGCCUGCGAUCAGUAACUGGUGUGAGAGCACGACCAGUCACACGGGCACUGAGACACGGGCCCGACUCCUACGGGUGGCUG
rnacentral:rRNA from 1 species